UGGCAACGCUAUUGUCAAGCAGCUGGUGAGUACUUUUUUGUGAGUUUCCACUCAAUAUAUAUUUGUAGAUAGCUAUGCUUACCAAUGUUACUACUGUGAACUGUAGGAUGAUCUCAAUUGCCAAUGUUGUUCCAUUAUGGUGUGUUUCAAUAUUUCUUUUGUUGUUUCAUCUGUUCCUAAUUUCAUUAUUAGAGAUGUGCUAGUCCAACUAUAUGUGCUUCGAUAUAUCUGGAGAUUCUCUUGGUAUCAGGGGUGAAACCUGAUGACAUAUGUUCCCAAGUUGGUUUAUGUUCCGCCAAAAGGAUUCAAUCUAAGAGAUUCCAUCAAGCUUGAAGAAGGUCUUCCACCCAAUAAUAUUUUGUGCAACAUUUGCAGAGCUAGCAACAAUUGUUUCAGAGUUUCUUUCUGAGUAGAGCUUGAUUAUGUUUUAGGUGUAAAUUAUAGUUUAGUUAAUAUUCAAUUCUAUAUUGUACAAGGGCCGGUUUGUUUUGAACUCUAUUUAUAAAGUCUUUCAAUAAAAUUUUUAUGUUUUAAUUA